UACAGAGGGUGCGAGCGUUGUUCGGAAUUACUGGGCGUAAAGCGCGCGCAGGCGGCUUUUUAAGUCCGUUGGUGAAAUGCCGGGGCUCAACCCCGUGCCCGCCAGGGAUACUGGAGAGCUGGAGACGAGUAGAGGCAAGCGGAAUUCCGGGUGUAGCGGUGGAAUGCGUAGAGAUCCGGAAGAACACCGGAGGCGAAGGCGGCUUACUGGGCUCGGUCUGACGCUGAGGCGCGAAAGCGUGGGGAGCGAACAGG
rnacentral:rRNA from 1 species